rnacentral:rRNA from 1 species
GAUGAACGCUGGCGGCGUGCCUAAUACAUGCAAGUCGAGCGAACAGACGAGGAGCUUGCUCCUCUGACGUUAGCGGCGGGCGGGUGAGUAACACGUGGAUAACCUACCUAUAAGGCUGGGAUAACUUCGGGAAACCGGAGCUAAUACCGGAUAAUAUAUUGAACCGCAUGGUUCAAUAGUGAAAGACGGUUUUGCUGUCACUUAUAGAUGGAUCCGCGCCGCAUUAGCUAGUUGGUAAGGUAACGGCUUACCAAGGCGACGAUGCGUAGCCGACCUGAGAGGGUGAUCGGCCACACUGGAACUGUGACACGGUCCAGACUCCUACGGGAGGCAGCAGUAGGGAAUCUUCCGCAAUGGGCGAAAGCCUGACGGAGCAACGCCGCGUGAGUGAUGAAGGUCUUCGGAUCGUAAAACUCUGUUAUUAGGGAAGAACAAAUGUGUAAGUAACUAUGCACGUCUUGACGGUACCUAAUCAGAAAGCCACGGCUAACUACGUG